rnacentral:rRNA from 1 species
UACGUAGGGGGCAAGCGUUGUCCGGAAUCAUUGGGCGUAAAGCGCGUGUAGGCGGCUCGGUAAGUCCGCUCUGAAAGUCCAGGGCUCAACCCUGGGAUGCGGGUGGAUACUGCCGAGCUCGAGUCCGGAAGAGGCGAGUGGAAUUCCUGGUGUAGCGGUGAAAUGCGCAGAUAUCAGGAGGAACACCGGCGGCGAAGGCGGCCCUCUGGAUCGUUGCUGACGCUGAGACGCGAAAGCGUGGGGAGCAAACAGG